rnacentral:rRNA from 1 species
GAUGAGCGCUGGCGGCGUGCCUAAUACAUGCAAGUCGAGCGAACAGAUAAGGAGCUUGCUCCUUUGACGUUAGCGGCGGACGGGUGAGUAACACGUGGGUAACCUACCUAUAAGACUGGAAUAACUCCGGGAAACCGGGGCUAAUGCCGGAUAACAUUUAGAACCGCAUGGUUCUAAAGUGAAAGAUGGUUUUACUAUCACUUAUAGAUGGACCCGCGCCGUAUUAGCUAGUUGGUAAGGUAACGGCUUACCAAGGCAACGAUACGUAGCCGACCUGAGAGGGUGAUCGGCCACACUGGAACUGAGACACGGUCCAGACUCCUACGGGAGGCAGCAGUAGGGAAUCUUCCGCAAUGGGCGAAAGCCUGACGGAGCAACGCCGCGUGAGUGAUGAAGGUCUUCGGAUCGUAAAACUCUGUUAUUAGGGAAGAACAAAUGUGUAAGUAACUGUGCACGUCUUGACGGUACCUAAUCAGAAAGCCACGGCUAACUACGUG